rnacentral:rRNA from 1 species
AGUCCCGCAACGAGCGCAACCCUUAUCCUUGUUUGCCAGCGAGUAAUGUCGGGAACUCCAGGGAGACUGCCGGUGAUAAACCGGAGGAAGGUGGGGACGACGUCAAGUCAUCAUGGCCCUUACGAGUAGGGCUACACACGUGCUACAAUGGCGCAUACAGAGGGCAGCCAACUUGCGAGAGUGAGCGAAUCCCAAAAAGUGCGUCGUAGUCCGGAUCGGAGUCUGCAACUCGACUCCGUGAAGUCGGAAUCGCUAGUAAUCGUGGAUCAGAAUGCCACGGUGAAUACGUUCCCGGGCCUUGUACACACCGCCCGU